rnacentral:rRNA from 1 species
UGGGGAAUAUUGCACAAUGGGCGAAAGCCUGAUGCAGCAACGCCGCGUGAGUGAUGAAGGCCUUCGGGUUGUAAAGCUCUGUCUUCUGGGACGAUAAUGACGGUACCAGAGGAGGAAGCCACGGCUAACUACGUGCCAGCAGCCGCGGUAAUACGUAGGUGGCAAGCGUUGUCCGGAUUUACUGGGCGUAAAGGAUGCGUAGGCGGAUACUUAAGUCAGAUGUGAAAAUCCCGGGCUUAACUUGGGAACUGCAUUUGAAACUGGGUAUCGAGAGUGCGGGAGAGGAAAGUGGAAUUCCUAGUGUAGCGGUGAAAUGCGUAGAGAUUAGGAAGAACACCAGUGGCGAAGGCGACUUUCUGGACCGUAACUGACGCUGAGGCAUGAAAGCGUGGGGAGCAAACA